AGAAUUCAUAUUGCUGACAAACCUGCAAGACAACAAUAAAUAAAUAAUUUGAAAGAAAACUUACGUAUACAAGUUAAAUCAAAUCAGUAUUGCACAUUUUAGCAAAGAGAAGAAAUUGCUACCAGUAAAACACUGGGGAGUAUAAAGGGGAAGAGUUUUUCAGUAACCAGCACACUACUCAUGGAUCAUCAGUAGUCAUGGAUGCCUUCGCAAGCAUCAGGGCAGGAGGGAACCAGCUCAAGAAAACAUGCAUGCUGGUCUCACUUACUUUCCAUUAAGACACAAGAAAAAAAACUACAGUAUUUUUUCUUUGCACUGACUGAA
rnacentral:misc_RNA from 1 species